AACGAACGCUGGCGGCGUGCUUAACACAUGCAAGUCGAACGUGAUUGAGAGCUUGCUCUCAUGAAAGUGGCGCACGGGUGAGUAACACGUGGAUAAUCUGCCUGGCGAUCUGGGAUAACACCUCGAAAGGGGUGCUAAUACCGGAUAAGCCCACAGUCUCUUCGGAGAGUGCGGGAAAAGGGGGCCUCUGUAUAUGCUCCUGUCGCUAGAUGAGUCCGCGGCCCAUUAGCUAGUUGGUAGGGUAAUGGCCUACCAAGGCGACGAUGGGUAGCUGGUCUGAGAGGAUGAUCAGCCACACUGGAACUGGGACACGGUCCAGACUCCUACGGGAGGCAGCAGUGGGGAAUUUUGCGCAAUGGGCGAAAGCCUGACGCAGCAACGCCGCGUGAGUGAUGAAGGCCUUCGGGUCGUAAAGCUCUGUCAGAGGGGAAGAACCGCCGGGUGGCUAAUACCUGCCUGGUCUGACGGUACCCUCAAAGGAAGCACCGGCUAACUCCGUGCCAGCAGCCGCGGUAACAC
rnacentral:rRNA from 1 species